UACGUAGGGUGCAAGCGUUGUCCGGAAUUUAUUGGGCGUAAAGAGCUCGUAGGCGGUCUGUCGCGUCUGCCGUGUGAAAACUCGGGGCAUUACCCCGGGCCUGCAGUGGGUACGGGCAGACUAGAGUGCGGUAGGGGAGACUGGAAUUCCUGGUGUAGCGGUGAAAAUGCGCAGAUAUCAGGAGGAACACCGGUGGCGAAGGCGGGUCUCUGGGCCGUAACUGACGCUGAGGAGCGAAAGCUGGGGAGCGAAUAGG
rnacentral:rRNA from 1 species